rnacentral:rRNA from 1 species
UACAGAGGGUGCGAGCGUUAAUCGGAAUUACUGGGCGUAAAGGGCGCGUAGGCGGCCUGUUAAGUCGAACGUGAAAUCCCCGGGCUCAACCCGGGAACUGCGUCCGAUACUGGCAGGCUUGAAUUCGGGAGAGGGAUGUGGAAUUCCAGGUGUAGCGGUGAAAUGCGUAGAUAUCUGGAGGAACACCGGUGGCGAAGGCGGCAUCCUGGACCGAUAUUGACGCUGAUGCGCGAAAGCCAGGGGAGCAAACGGG